GCUCCCGUGGCCUAAUGGUUAGAGCGUCCGCCUCGGAUGCGGGAGGUCGCGGGUUCGAGUCAUACCAAGAGGUCA